GGUUAAGCGACUAAGCGUACACGGUGGAUGCCCUGGCAGUCAGAGGCGAUGAAGGACGUGCUAAUCUGCGAUAAGCGCCGGUAAGGUGAUAUGAACCGUUAUAACCGGCGAUUUCCGAAUGGGGAAACCCAGUGUGACUCGUCACACUAUCAUUAACUGAAUCCAUAGGUUAAUGAGGCGAACCGGGGGAACUGAAACAUCUAAGUACCCCGAGGAAAAGAAAUCAACCGAGAUUCCCCCAGUAGCGGCGAGCGAACGGGGAGGAGCCCAGAGCCUGAAUCAGCAUGUGUGUUAGUGGAAGCGUCUGGAAAGGCGCGCGAUACAGGGUGACAGCCCCGUACACAAAAAGCGCAUGUGCUGUGAGCUCGAUGAGUAGGGCGGGACACGUGGUAUCCUGUCUGAAUAUGGGGGGACCAUCCUCCAAGGCUAAAUACUCCUGACUGACCGAUAGUGAACCAGUACCGUGAGGGAAAGGCGAAAAGAACCCCGGCGAGGGGAGUGAAAAAGAACCUGAAACCGUGUACGUACAAGCAGUGGGAGCACAGGUUUACCUGUGUGACUGCGUACCUUUGUAUAAUGGGUCAGCGACUUAUAUUCUGUAGCAAGGUUAACCGAAUAGGGGAGCCGGAGGGAAACCGAGUCUUAACCGGGCGUUAAGUUGCAGGGUAUAGACCCGAAACCCGGUGAUCUAGCCAUGGGCAGGUUGAAGGUUGGGUAACACUAACUGGAGGAAUCGAACCGACUAAUGUUGAAAAAUUAGCGGAUGACCUGUGGCUGGGGGUGAAAGGCCAAUCAAACCGGGAGAUAGCUGGUUCUCCCCGAAAGCUAUUUAGGUAGCGCCUCGUGAAUUCAUCUCCGGGGGUAGAGCACUGUUUCGGCUAGGGGGCCAUCCCGGCUUACCAACCCGAUGCAAACUGCGAAUACCGGAGAAUGUUAUCACGGGAGACACACGGCGGGUGCUAACGUCCGUCGUGAAGAGGGAAACAACCCAGACCGCCAGCUAAGGUCCCAAAGUCAUGGUUAAGUGGGAAACGAUGUGGGAAGGCCCAGACAGCCAGGAUGUUGGCUUAGAAGCAGCCAUCAUUUAAAGAAAGCGUAAUAGCUCACUGGUCGAGUCGGCCUGCGCGGAAGAUGUAACGGGGCUAAACCAUGCACCGAAGCUGCGGCAGCGAACGUAUCACUUAAAGCGAUUCAGCGGGUUACGAUUGACGGAGCGAAGCGACGUCAAAGCGUAUACAAAGUCGAGUCGGUUUAAGGAUACGUUCGUUGGGUAGGGGAGCGUUCUGUAAGCCUGUGAAGGUGUGUCGUGAGGCAUGCUGGAGGUAUCAGAAGUGCGAAUGCUGACAUAAGUAACGAUAAAGCGGGUGAAAAGCCCGCUCGCCGGAAGACCAAGGGUUCCUGUCCAACGUUAAUCGGGGCAGGGUGAGUCGACCCCUAAGGCGAGGCCGAAAGGCGUAGUCGAUGGGAAACGGGUUAAUAUUCCCGUACUUGGUGUUACUGCGAAGGGGGGGACGGAGAAGGCUAUGUUGGCCGGGCGACGGUUGUCCCGGUUUAAGCGUGUAGGUGUGUGUUCCAGGUAAAUCCGGUUCACUUUAACACUGAGGCGUGAUGACGAGGCACUACGGUGCUGAAGCAACAAAUGCCCUGCUUCCAGGAAAAGCCUCUAAGCAUCAGGUAACAUCAAAUCGUACCCCAAACCGACACAGGUGGUCAGGUAGAGAAUACCAAGGCGCUUGAGAGAACUCGGGUGAAGGAACUAGGCAAAAUGGUGCCGUAACUUCGGGAGAAGGCACGCUGACAUGUAGGUGAAGUGAUUUACUCAUGGAGCUGAAGUCAGUCGAAGAUACCAGCUGGCUGCAACUGUUUAUUAAAAACACAGCACUGUGCAAACACGAAAGUGGACGUAUACGGUGUGACGCCUGCCCGGUGCCGGAAGGUUAAUUGAUGGGGUCAGCGCAAGCGAAGCUCCUGAUCGAAGCCCCGGUAAACGGCGGCCGUAACUAUAACGGUCCUAAGGUAGCGAAAUUCCUUGUCGGGUAAGUUCCGACCUGCACGAAUGGCGUAAUGAUGGCCAGGCUGUCUCCACCCGAGACUCAGUGAAAUUGAACUCGCUGUGAAGAUGCAGUGUACCCGCGGCAAGACGGAAAGACCCCGUGAACCUUUACUAUAGCUUGACACUGAACAUUGAGCCUUGAUGUGUAGGAUAGGUGGGAGGCUUUGAAGCGUGGACGCCAGUCUGCGUGGAGCCGACCUUGAAAUACCACCCUUUAAUGUUUGAUGUUCUAACGUGGACCCGUAAUCCGGGUUGCGGACAGUGUCUGGUGGGUAGUUUGACUGGGGCGGUCUCCUCCUAAAGAGUAACGGAGGAGCACGAAGGUUGGCUAAUCCUGGUCGGACAUCAGGAGGUUAGUGCAAUGGCAUAAGCCAGCUUGACUGCGAGCGUGACGGCGCGAGCAGGUGCGAAAGCAGGUCAUAGUGAUCCGGUGGUUCUGAAUGGAAGGGCCAUCGCUCAACGGAUAAAAAGGUACUCCGGGGAUAACAGGCUGAUACCGCCCAAGAGUUCAUAUCGACGGCGGUGUUUGGCACCUCGAUGUCGGCUCAUCACAUCCUGGGGCUGAAGUAGGUCCCCAAGGGUAUGGCUGUUCGCCAUUUAAAGUGGUACGCGAGCUGGGUUUAGAACGUCGUGAGACAGUUCGCAUUCCUAUCUGCCGUGGGCGCUGGAGAACUGAGGGGGCUGCUCCUAGUACGAGAGGACCGGAGUGGACGCAUCACUGGUGUUCGGGUUGUCAUGCCAAUGGCACUGCCCGGUAGCUAAAUGCGGAAGAGAUAAGUGCUGAAAGCAUCUAAGCACGAAACUUGCCCCGAGAUGAGUUCUCCCUGAGACUUAGAGUCUCCUGAAGGAACGUUGAAGACGACGACGUUGAUAGGCCGGGUGUGUAAGCGCAGCGAUGCGUUGAGCUAACCGGUACUAAUGAACCGUGAGGCUUAACCUU
rnacentral:rRNA from 1 species